rnacentral:rRNA from 1 species
CGAAAAGUCCCCAUUGAGCUUUACUAAAGACUUAUAUGGCUCGAAUAACUUAAAUAAAAAGUUUAGAUAAUGUGGGAUCUGUUUUUGGUUAAUGAGACACCACUCUUUUAUUUUAAGAGAACUAACCUUAUAGGGAGAAUGUAAGUUAGAUAGUUUGGUUGGGGCGACCACCUUUUAAAAGGUAACGAAGGUGAGCUUAAGGUCCGUAGUUAAUAGCUAGAGGCCUGACUGCAAGGGGGACAUCCCGAGCAGACACAUCCUUAAGGAUGUGGGUUAUAGUGACCCGUC